GACGAACGCUGGCGGCGUGCUUAACACAUGCAAGUCGAACGGAAAGGCCCUGCUUUUGUGGGGUGCUCGAGUGGCGAACGGGUGAGUAACACGUGAGUAACCUGCCCUUGACUUUGGGAUAACUUCAGGAAACUGGGGCUAAUACCGGAUAGGAGCUCCUGCUGCAUGGUGGGGGUUGGAAAGUUUCGGCGGUUGGGGAUGGACUCGCGGCUUAUCAGCUUGUUGGUGGGGUAGUGGCUUACCAAGGCUUUGACGGGUAGCCGGCCUGAGAGGGUGACCGGCCACAUUGGGACUGAGAUACGGCCCAGACUCCUACGGGAGGCAGCAGUGGGGAAUAUGGCACAAUGGGCGGAAGCCUGAUGCAGCAACGCCGCGUGCGGGAUGACGGCCUUCGGGUUGUAAACCGCUUUCGCCUGUGACGAAGCGUGAGUGACGGUAAUGGGUAAAGAAGUACCGGCUAACUACGUG
rnacentral:rRNA from 1 species